UUAAAGAAGGUAUUUCUACCCUAUCGAGCCUUUUAUUACCUCGAAAGAUUAUCCCUUCCCAGAUGAAAUUGUGUGAGAUGCACGGCUUCUGCGAUAGCUCGGAAAAGGCGUAUGCAGCUGUGGUCUAUUUUCGCAUAAUUACUUAUGAUGAUAACGUUCAGACGUAUUUGCUAUGUUCUAAGAGUAGAGUAGCUCCUCUUAAGACAAUCUCGAUUCCAAGGCUAGAGUUGUGCUCGGCUGUCUUAUUGGCAGAUUUAAUGUCAUCAGUGAAAGAAGCGCUUGCUGAUUCUAUAAAUAUUUCGUCAUUGUUUGCAUGGACUGAUUCCACCGUAGCUUUAAGCUGGAUAAAGUCUUCUCCCCAUAAAUGGACUACUUUUGUAAGUAACCGCGUAUCGUAUAUUCAGGAAAAAUUAUCUGCGGAUUGCUGGGCUCAUGUUAGGUCGGAAAAUAAUCCUGCUGACUGUGCAACCAGAGGUCUUCUUCCCUCCGAGUUACUUCACCUCGAAAAAUGGUGGGCCGGACCCGGUUUUCUAACAUCCUGUCUCACUAAAUGGGUUAACGAUUCUUACACGUCUGACGAUAAUAUGGACCUUGAAAAAAGGAAGAUUGUAUUAUUAGCCUCAACUCCAGUGGUUGACUUAUGGAAUAAUUUUAUCUCAAGAUUCUCCUCUUUAUCCAAAAUUAUUCGUGUUUUUGCAUAUGUUUUACGCUUUUGUGCAUAUGUAAAAGCUCCAAAACUUUUUAACAAUAAAGGUCAUGUAACAUUGGCAGAAUUGGAUAGAGCUCUCUUACUUUUAAUCCGAGAAGUUCAGAAAGUUUCAUUUGCUCAAGAAAUGGCAGAACUUUCGAAAUCCAAUCCUAAUCUAAGAGUAUUACCGAAAUAUAUUCGAAAGCUAUCUCCCUUUUUAGAUAAGGAUGGUGUCCUCAGGGUGGGCGGACGAUUGAAACACGCUUCACUUUCUUAUAAUCAUAAACACCCCUGUCUAUUGCCCAGUGAUCAUCGAAUUACCUCUCUCAUCAUUGAACAAACUCACAUUAAAUAUAUGCACCCUGGUUUACAAACUACCCAAUUCCUACUCAGUCAACGCUUUUGGAUUCCUUCUUCAAGAAGAAUUAUUAAAAAGGUUUUGUCUUCCUGCAUGCGUUGCUUUAGGUGUAACCCUUCAUCACAAAUUCCUCUUAUGGGUGAUUUACCGUCCUUCAGAGUAAAUCAAGUAAAAUGUUUCACCAAAAGUGGUGUGGAUUUUGGAGGGCCAUACUUAAUCACUAUGGGCAAGCAUCGUGGCAGCAAAACUUGUAAGGCUUAUAUUUGCCUUUUUGUCUGCUUGUGCACAAAGGCUCUUCACCUGGAACUGGUUACAGAGCUAUCAAGCGAUGCCUUUCUGGCCGCAUUAAGGCGCUUUGUUUCUCGCCGAGGUCGUGUCACAGACAUGUUUAGCGAUUGUGGGACGAAUUUUGUGGGUGCGUCAAAAGAGUUGAUGCAAAAUAUGCGUAAUGCAUCGAUCCACGAAGGCAUAGUGUGGCAUUUCAACCCCCCUUCAGCCCCAAAUUUUGGUGGAAUUUGGGAAGCUGGAAUUAAGGCCGUAAAGGGCCAUCUACAUCGCGUAGUUGGUUCGCACAUCCUCACCUAUGAGGAGUUUAAUACUGUCUUAACCUCAAUAGAGGCAAUCCUAAACUCUCGACCUCUCUGUUCAUUAAGUAGCGACCCUAAUGACUUAAACCCUUUGACCCCUAGUCAUUUUUUGAAUUUUGAACCCUUAAAUACCUUCGUUGAAUCCGACCUAACAGAGAUUAAAUUGGGUCGUCUUUCGCGCUGGCAACUUAUUCAACGUAUCCACCAGGAUUUUUGGAAGAGGUGGCAUAAUGAAUAUUUACACACCCUUAAUCAGAGGUCGAAGUGGUAUGAUACAAGUAAAGCCAUUGAAGUUGAUUCGUUGGUAUUAAUAAAGGAGGAUAAUGCUCCACCCCUUUCGUGGUUGUUGGGUCGUGUAAUAGAAUGUUUUCCAGGCAGGGAUGGCAUUACGCGUGUUGUAGCGGUAAAGACGCAUAAGGGGAUACUGCGCCGUCCUGUCUCGAAGUUAUGUUCAUUACCGAACAAUUAGUUUUUCCUGCGGAAAAUUUAUAUUUCGCGUUAGAAUUCAUGCUUUUUUUUUAAUUUUUGCUCUUUUUUUUUACUUAAAAUGUGGGACAUUUUAGGUGGGCGGUAUGUUCCGUCAAAGCGGAAUGGUUACUUAUUUAUAUAUAUAUUUUUUUUCUUUAUUGGGUCUUGUGUUUAAAUAUAAUUAACAUGAGCUUUAUUGGUUUUAAAUUCUAAUCUUAUUCUAAUUACUUUCGCGGCCUUUUAUCGCGUCAUAGUGAGACAGCCUUAUUCUUUGACCGAGAAGAGUCGCACGCAUCACCAGGUAGUACUGCACCGAAUUUUGAUGCAGUCAGGAGAAGCGCAUAAACCUUGAACAAAAUAGGUUGCUCUCAAUAUACACACAUAUUUUUCGCGAGUGAAUUCCAAAGACAUUAAGUGCCGGCACGUCUUUAAGCAAAAUAACCCAGUUUGAAUUGGAUAGAAAAAGAAGCGACAGCAAGAUAUUGAUGAACAAAUGAAAUGGCGCCUCAUCGAACAAGAAUUUAUCCAGAAAAACCUGAAAAUACUGUCAGGCAAAAUAGAACAGGAGGAGCGGAAUUUUAAAAAACUAAAUUCAGAUCUUAGUGCAACUCAAGCUCAA